UGCGUAGGCGGAUUGAUAAGUCAGUGGUGAAAACCUUCAGCUUAACUGGAGACUUGCCAUUGAUACUGUUAGUCUUGAGUACGGACAAGGUAGGCGGAAUGUGUAAUGUAGCGGUGAAAUGCUUAGAUAUUACACAGAACACCGAUUGCGAAGGCAGCUUACUGGGCCAUUACUGACGCUGAGGCACGAAAGCGUGGGGAGCGAACAGGAUUAGAUACCCUGGUAGUC
rnacentral:rRNA from 1 species